rnacentral:lncRNA from 1 species
AACUGGCAGGCCCCAAGGAGCCCAGACAGGUGGCGGGGGGCCCUCUCCUGGCUGCCCCGUGCCCCCUCUGACCCAGCGCAGGCGGCCUCUCUCUACUCCUGUCUGAACCUGCUGCCUGGGAGGAGCUGAUGUCAGUCAUCCCGCCAGUGGAGCUGCGGGCCACCUCGGGCUCCCAUCCCGGCCCUGCACAGGUCCUAACUCCUCCCUGCUGGCAUCUCUCCAGCCAUGGCAGACAGCCCAGCUUGGGAAAGCACUGGGCUGGCCCAGUGGUGAGUGUCCCAGCCGGGUAACCCAGCCCCAGCUUGACAAAUAAUAUCUGCAGCUUGUCUAGCCUGGCAGUGAGAGCCCGGCCAAAGGGCCAAGUUCCAAGCUAGGUCUUCAAAGGACAGAAAAGACUCUGGAAACUACAUGACAACUGGCCACAGAUCUCUACGGAGUUAUCCUAAGAAGAAAUCACACCCGGUCCCCAAACGCACAGGUCCACCAAGGAGAGCAGAAAACAGAGGACGUCAAAGGCGGAUGGGUAGCAGGAACACAGUCUCAAAUAUUCCGUUUCAUCAUCUGCAACAUGGAAGCAAGCGUAGUGUCACUUUGCAGAUUCUUUAUCACUGA